UACGAGGAAAGCAGAAGCAAUAUAUUUUGCACUUGCAAAAACAAAUAAUACUCAAAUUAAGUUAAAGGAAGAGCAGAAAGAAGAUAUUCGUCAAAUAGUAAAUGGAAGGGAUGUUAAAUCGUUGAUAUACCAACUUUUACCGUCCAUGUUCGACUGCAUUAAUUGGAGAAAAAGAAAUAUUUCUGCCGUGUUGCCAGAAACAAUUGUAAUCGUGAUUUCCCCAUUAAAUGCACUGGUGGGCGACCAAAUAGACAAGCUAAAAACUGACAUGGGUGUUAAGGCAGUUGUUUUACGCCAUGAUGAUCAUGAUCAAGAAAUGAAAGGUGGGUACUAUUAAAAAUACUUCAUUUUGCUAUUUUUGUAUAUAAUACAUAAUAUGUAUAGACGGUAAAUAGACCCCUUGCCUAAAAACCAACUGGUUGGAAAGUUUAUUGAAAAUAUAAUUAGCAUUAAGCAAUCACUAUUAAGUGUACUUGCCAUGUUAGGGUCUUGGGGAAAUGUUUCCCUUAUUUUUCUGUUAUCAGCAGCUGUAUCAAAAUGUAUGCAUUAUUAAAUAAAUUUAUUUGUCUUUUUAUAGCUUACAGUAUGUAUCAACAAAGUAUGGAUGUAAGGCC